rnacentral:piRNA from 1 species
UGUCACUUCAGUCGAACUGAUCACUAUACC